rnacentral:rRNA from 1 species
AUUGAACGCUGGCGGCAGGCCUAACACAUGCAAGUCGAGCGGAUGAAGGGAGCUUGCUCCUGGAUUCAGCGGCGGACGGGUGAAUAAUGCCUAGGAAUCUGCCUGGUAGUGGGGGAUAACGUCCGGAAACGGGCGCUAAUACCGCAUACGUCCUGAGGGAGAAAGUGGGGGAUCUUCGGACCUCACGCUAUCAGAUGAGCCUAGGUCGGAUUAGCUAGUUGGUGGGGUAAAGGCCUACCAAGGCGACGAUCCGUAACUGGUCUGAGAGGAUGAUCAGUCACACUGGAACUGAGACACGGUCCAGACUCCUAAGGGAGGCAGCAGUGGGGAAUAUUGGACAAUGGGCGAAAGCCUGAUCCAGCCAUGCCGCGUGUGUGAAGAAGGUCUUCGGAUUGUAAAGCACUUUAAGUUGGGAGGAAGGGCAGUAAGUUAAUACCUUGCUGUUUUGACGUUACCAACAGAAUAAGCACCGGCUAACUUCGUG